rnacentral:misc_RNA from 1 species
UCCGGCUUAUCACCGGCAGUCCCUCUAGAGUGCCCAACUGAAUGCUGGCAACUAAGAUCAAGGGUUGCGCUCGUUGCGGGACUUAACCCAACAUCUCACGACACGAGCUGACGACAACCAUGCACCACCUGUCACCAUUGUCCCCGAAGGGAAAAGUCUAUCUCUAGACCGGGCAAUGGGAUGUCAAGACCUGGUAAGGUUCUUCGCGUUGCUUCGAAUUAAACCACAUGCUCCACCGCUUGUGCGGGCCCCCGUCAAUUCCUUUGAGUUUCAAUCUUGCGAUCGUACUCCCCAGGCGGAGUGCUUAAUGCGUUAGCUGCAGCACUGAGGGGCGGAAACCCCCCAACACUUAGCACUCAUCGUUUACGGCGUGGACUAC